GUGCUUGAUUUGGCAGCACAUACACUAAAAUUGGAAUACAGAGAAGAUUAGCAUGGCCCCUGUGCUAGGACGACAUACAAAUUCAUGAAGCCUUCCAUAUUAAA
rnacentral:snRNA from 1 species